rnacentral:rRNA from 1 species
GACGAACGCUGGCGGCGUGCUUAACACAUGCAAGUCGAACGGAAAGGCCCUGCUUUUGUGGGGUGCUCGAGUGGCGAACGGGUGAGUAACACGUGAGUAACCUGCCCUUGACUUUGGGAUAACUUCAGGAAACUGGGGCUAAUACCGGAUAGGAGCUCCUGCUGCAUGGUGGGGGUUGGAAAGUUUCGGCAGUUGGGGAUGGACUCGCGGCUUAUCAGCUUGUUGGUGGGGUAGUGGCUUACCAAGGCUUUGACGGGUAGCCGGCCUGAGAGGGUGACCGGCCACAUUGGGACUGAGAUACGGCCCAGACUCCUACGGGAGGCAGCAGUGGGGAAUAUUGCACAAUGGGCGGAAGCUUGAUGCAGCAACGCCGCGCGCGGGAUGACGGCCUUCGGGUUGUAAACCGCUUUCGCCUGUGACGAAGCGUGAGUGACGGUAAUGGGUAAAGAAGCACCGGCUAACUACGUG